AGUGAACGCUGGCGGUAGGCCUAACACAUGCAAGUCGAACGGCAGCACAGUAAGAGCUUGCUCUUACGGGUGGCGAGUGGCGGACGGGUGAGGAAUACAUCGGAAUCUACUUUUUCGUGGGGGAUAACGUAGGGAAACUUACGCUAAUACCGCAUACGACCUACGGGUGAAAGCAUGGGAUCUUCGGACCUUGCGCGAUUGAAUGAGCCGAUGUCGGAUUAGCUAGUUGGCGGGGUAAAGGCCCACCAAGGCGACGAUCCGUAGCUGGUCUGAGAGGAUGAUCAGCAACACUGGAACUGAGACACGGUCCAGACUCCUACGGGAGGCAGCAGUGGGGAAUAUUGGACAAUGGGCGCAAGCCUGAUCCAGCCAUACCGCGUGGGUGAAGAAGGCCUUCGGGUUGUAAAGCCCUUUUGUUGGGAAAGAAAAGCAGCAGGUUAAUACCCCGCUGUUCUGACGGUACCCAAAGAAUAAGCACCGGCUAACUGCGU
rnacentral:rRNA from 1 species